AAUCAACGCUGGCGGCGCGCUUAACACAUGCAAGUCGAACGAGAAACCUCUCUUCGGAGAGGGAUUUAGUGGCGAACGGGUGAGUAACACGUGGGUUACCUGCCCUCGAGUGGGGAAUAACUCUGGGAAACUGGAGCUAAUACCGCAUAUAACCUCCGGGUGAAAGGCUUCGGCCGCUCGAGGAUGGGCCCGCGGUCGAUUAGCUAGUUGGUGGGGUAAUGGCCUACCAAGGCACCGAUCGAUAGCCGGCCUGAGAGGGCACACGGCCACACUGGCACUGAGACACGGGCCAGACUCCUACGGGAGGCAGCAGUGGGGAAUCUUGGACAAUGGGGGAAACCCUGAUCCAGCGACGCCGCGUGACCGAUGAAGGCCCUAGGGUCGUAAAGGUCUUUCAGUGGGGACAAUAAUGAUGU
rnacentral:rRNA from 1 species